GCUGUGAUUAGUGGUUAGUACUAUGCAUUGUGGCUGCAGCAACCCCGGUUUAAAUCCGGGUCACGGCA
rnacentral:tRNA from 1 species